rnacentral:rRNA from 1 species
CCUACGGGUGGCUGCAGUGAGGAAUAUUGGUCAAUGGGCGGAAGCCUGAACCAGCCAAGUAGCGUGCAGGAUGACGGCCCUACGGGUUGUAAACUGCAUUUAUACGGGAGUAACGCGCCUUACGUAUAGGGCUUUGCAUGUACCGUAUGAAUAAGGACCGGCUAAGUCCGUACCAGCAGCCGCGGUAAUACGGAAGGUCCGGGCGUUAUCCGGAUUUAUUGGGUUUAAAGGGAGCGUAGGACGCACGCCAAGCGUGAUGUGAAAUGUCCGGGCUCAACCCGGGCCUUGCAGCGCAAACUGGCGUGCUGGAGUGCGCGGAAGGCAGGCGGAAGUCGUCGUGUAGCGGUGAAAUGCUUAGAUAUGACGAAGAACCCCGAUUGCGAAGGCAGCUUGCUGCAGCGGAACUGACGCUGAUGCUCGAAAGCGCGGGUAUCGAACAGGAUUAGAUACCCUUGUAGUC